UGGCUCUGAGUGAACGCUAUGCAAAUGCUUGACACAUGCUAAUCGAACGUCAAUAUUUAAUUUAGAUGAAUUAUGUAUAUUGAAGUGGUGUACAGGUGAGUAAUUGGUAUUAUGGCUACCUAGAAGUAAGGCAAAAUAAAUCCCUUAUAGCAACAAUUUGUUAUUCUUUAUUUAUACUAGAAAUAAUUUGCUUCUAUUAGAUUUACUAUAAAUAAAGUUAAGUUAACUAUAACAAUAAUAACUGUUCAAAAGAAAGAGUAUUUCGCUUCUAGUUGAUUAUUAAUAACCAUCGGAUAAGUAGUAAGUAUGGUAAUGGCAUACUUAGCUUGUGUCCGUAGUCAGGACUGAGAGGUCUAUUGACCACACUGGGUCUGAAAAAACCCCAGUGCGUGUAGUACAGCAGUGAGGAAUUUUGGUCAAUGGCCUAACGGCUGAACCAGCAACUUGCAGGAAUGAGAGUUAAUAUAAUAAGUUUAUUAACUUGCUUGACUAGGUCUUAUAAAGUUCUGGAUAAAGCUUAUUAUGAAAACUUUAUAUCCAUAGGUCUCGACCAAAUCUUGUGCCAGCAGUCGCGGUAAGACAAGGGAGACGAGUGUUAUUCAUCUUUAACAGGUAUAUAGGGUACCUAGACGGUGUACAAAGGCUUAGAUAAGUACCUGUUACACUUGAGUUUGAUAUGUGAGAGGAAUAUGUCAGAAUUAUUGGUGGAAAGAUGAAAUUUGCUAAUACUAAUAGGACUGAUAAAGGCGAAGGCAAACCUCUAUGUACAUGUAUUUAUGCAGCACGGGAUCGUGAAAAAAAAAGGCAUAAAAUACUAUAACUGACGUUGAGGGACGAAGGCUCAGAGAGUGAAGAGGAUUAGAUACCCCCGUAGCCUGGGCAGACAAUGAUGAGUGCCAUAGGUUGGCUUUACGCGGAACUAUAAAUGAAAGUGUAAGCACUCCACCUCAAGAGUAAUGUGGCAACGCAGGAACUGAAAUCAUUAGACCGUUUCUGAAACCAGUAGUGAAGUAUGUUAUUUAAUUCGAUGAUCCUCGAAUAACCUUACCACAAUUUGAAUGACCUAAAAUAUUUUUUUAGACCACAUGCGUUGCAUGGCUGUCUUCAGUUAAUGUCGUGAGACUUUGGUUAGAUCCAUUAAAUUAACGUAAACCCUUGUUUUAUUUAUUAGUAUAAAGCAGCUCUCCGCUUACAAUUGGAUGUGAUAAUAGGGACUAAGACAAGUCAUCAUGGCCUUAAUAUUGUGGGCUAUAGACGUGCCACAUGUGCCUUUACAAAGGGAUGCAAUAAUGCGAAUUGGAGCUAAUCCCCAAAACAGGAUAAAGUAUGGAUUGUAGUCUGAAAUUCGACUGCAUGAAAAAGGAAUUACUAGUAAUCGUGAGUAAUCACAUCACGGUGAAUUUUAUCUCAGAUAGGUACUAACCACUCGUCAGGCGCUGAAAGGAGUAUGUGCAAUAAGUUUGGUGGCUGCGGAUUGUUAAUCUAAAUUUACAGGUUUAGAUCUUUUGGCAGAUACAUCUUCGUAUGCGUGACUCUAAUUGGUGUUAAGUCGAAAUACGGUUCGUGUAGUGGAAAUUGCA
rnacentral:rRNA from 1 species